UACGGGGGGGGCAAGCGUUGUUCGGAAUUACUGGGCGUAAAGCGAGCGUAGGCGGUUAUUUAAGUCGGGUGUGAAAGCCCCGGGCUCAACCUGGGAAUUGCAUUCGAUACUGGAUAGCUAGAGUUCGGCAGAGGUAAGCGGAAUUUCCGGUGUAGCGGUGAAAUGCGUAGAUAUCGGAAGGAACAUCAGUGGCGAAAGCGGCUUCCUGGACCAGAACUGACGAUCAGGCUCGAAAGCGUGGGGAGCAAACAGG
rnacentral:rRNA from 1 species